AGCAGCCGCGGUAAUUCCAGCUCCAAUAGCGUAUAUUAAAGUUGUUGCAGUUAAAAAGCUCGUAGUUGAACUUCAGGCCUGGCUGGGCGGUCCGCCUUCCGGGCGAGUACUGCCUGUGGUCGGGUCCUACCUUCUGGCGAAGCGUCAUGGCCUUAACCGGCCGUGGCGGGGAACCAGGACUUUUACUGUGAAAAAAUUAGAGUGUUCAAAGCAGGCACGCGCUUGAAUACAUUAGCAUGGAAUAAUGGAAUAGGACAGUGGUUCUAUUUGUUGGUUUCUAGGACCGUUGUAAUGAUUAAUAGGGAUAGUUGGGGGCAUUAGUAUUCAAUUGUCAGAGGUGAAAUUCUUGGAUUUAUUGAAGACUAACUACUGCGAAAGCAUUUGCCAAGGAUGUUUUCAUUAAUCAAGAACGAAAGUUAGGGGAUCGAAGACGAUCAGAUACCGUCGUAGUCUUAACCAUAAACUAUGCCGACUAGGAAUCGGGCGAUGUUGACAAAAUGACGCGCUCGGCA
rnacentral:rRNA from 2 species